GGAUUAGAUACCCUGGUAGUCCACGCCGUAAACGAUGAUAACUAGUUGUUGGGAGGCUUAGACCUCUUUGUGACGAAGCUAACGCGAUAAGUUAUCCGCCUGGGGAGUACGGUCGCAAGACUAAAACUCAAAGGAAUUGACGGGGGCCCGCACAAGCGGUGGAGCAUGUGGUUUAAUUCGAUGCAACGCGAAAAACCUUACCUACCCUUGACAUCCUCAGAACUUGUUAGAGAUAACUUGGUGCCUUCGGGAAUUGAGUGACAGGUGCUGCAUGGCUGUCGUCAGCUCGUGCUG
rnacentral:rRNA from 1 species